rnacentral:rRNA from 1 species
AGCAGCCGCGGUAAUUCCAGCUCCAAUAGCGUAUAUUAAAGUUGUUGCAGUUAAAAAGCUCGUAGUUGAAUUUCGGGAUCAAUAUAUCGGUCGUGCCUUGGUACGUACUGGUAUCAUUGGUUUCUCCUUUCUGACGAACCAUGAUGUCAUUAAUUUGGUGUUAUGGGAAGUUAGGACUGUUACUUUGAAAAAAUUAGAGUGUUUAAAGCAGGCUUUAGCUUGAAUACAUUAGCAUGGAAUAAUGAAAUAGGACGUUCGAACCUAUUUUGUUGGUUUCUAGGAUCAACGUAAUGAUUAAUAGGGAUAGUUGGGGGCAUUAGUAUUCAAUUGUCAGAGGUGAAAUUCUUGGAUUUAUUGAAGACUAACUACUGCGAAAGCAUUUGCCAAGGAUGUUUUCAUUAAUCAAGAACGAAAGUUAGGGGAUCGAAGACGAUCAGAUACCGUCGUAGU